rnacentral:misc_RNA from 1 species
GAAAUGCGAUAAGUAAUGUGAAUUGCAGAAUUCAGUGAAUCAUCGAAUCUUUGAACGCACCUUGCGCUCCUUGGUAUUCCUUGGAGCAUGCCUGUUUGAGUAUCAUGAAAUCUUCAAAGUAAAUCUUUUGUUAACUCAAUUGGUUUCUACUUUGGUAUUGGAGGUCUUUGCAGCUUCACACCUGCUCCUCUUUGUUCAUUAGCUGGAUCUCAGUGUUAUGCUUGGUUCCACUCGGCGUGAUAAGUUAUCUAUCGCUGAGGACACUGUAAAAGGUGGCCAAGGUAAAUGCAGAUGAACCGCUUCUAAUAGUCCAUAGACUUGGACAAUACUUUUAUGAUCUGAUCUCAAAUCAGGUAGGACUACCCGCUGAACUUAAGCA